rnacentral:lncRNA from 1 species
CUUUACUCUUUCCGAGCACCCAACGCAUUUUGGAGACAGCUGUGCACCCCAACCUUUACACCGUCAUCGCAGCCCCUGCAGCGUGUUGCGAGGUGCAAGUCCUUGCACACCUGGGUGAAAUUCGUGGGUGGCGGAGACAAAACGGCAGAGAACCAGGCGACCGGAGACAGAGCCGCAGAGUCGCCCUGGUCCCGCCCACCGCCCUCUCCGCACUCCCGCUCAGCCCCCUCCCUGCUUCCUGUCCUCUGGACCCGGCAGCUCUGGAUCUCUCUGGAUCGCCCGGAGCGGCCUUCAGUUCUGCACCUGAGGAAGUUAAGCCGGCGGUGGAAAGUUCCCUGGGCCCAGCUUGCUCACCAACCGCCCGAACCUCCCUCACCCGCAUCGGAAAGGAAAGUGUGUUUGCUGCCCUGUGAACCAAGUAUGCAGCGAGGAAUGCUACCUUUUAUUUAUUUUUUUUUUAAAGAUUUAUUUAUUUAUUCGAUCCCAGAACGCCGGGAUCAUGCCCUGAGCCGAAGGCAGACGCCCAGCCGCUGUGCCACCCAGGCGCCCCGAGGAAUGCUACCUUUUAGGAUGAAUUCACAGAGCAACUGAACUGAGCUGAACUUUUUUUUUUUUUCUUUCGUUCUGAAGGCCUCUGGGGAAGUUGAUAAAGUUAUGAUUUAUCGUUUUGCAAGGGACAUUCCAAAACAGCAGUUUGUUUAAUUUUAAUUUUUUUUUUUUUUUUAAAGACAAGUAAAGGUCACAGAGACCAACUCAACUUUUAAUCUCAUUUCAGGAGGGUUGUUUUGAAAAGAGGGGUAUUUAGGGGCUCCUGGCUGGCUCCCUCGGUAGCGCCUGUGACUCUUGAUUUUGGGGGUGCUGAGUUCAAGCCCCACCUUGGGCACAGAGGUUAUUAAAAAAAAAAAAAAGGAUAUUUAAAGAAAUUGGGAGCCUUUUAUUUGUCAAGAAUAGUUUCAAAAAAUAACUGAAACUAUAUAAUAAUAUCUCAAUACAUUCUGAGUGUUAAAAAAAUCACUAUGUAGUAAAAGGUUUAUGGAAAAAAUGGAUUUCAGAAGGGACAUCCAAAAUAAUCAGUGGGCAUCGUCAUCAAACAUAAUUAAAGGCCGGUUAAGGAAACAGGGUGAUAAGUUUUAGAAACAUCAGAAUCCUAAAACCAAAUUCUCAGUUCUGGUCCACAGCUUCCUAUAUGCCUGAGCUCGUUUUUUGUUUUUUUUUUUUUAAUUGAAUUUUUAGCAACCAGCUGAGGCCUCUGCUUCCUUCAAGUAUGGGACAAUCCUAGUUACUUCCUCCUACUCCUUCCCUCCCGUGGGCCCAGAGGGCAAAAAAUUUCCCCCUUUUAAACGCUGAUACCGUGUGAGAGCCACUGCUUUUUCCCCAAGCUGGGGGUAGGCCUUUUCUCAAUUUUCAUAUGUAUCAGUUCCCCCUAUCCCCCACGGCUGCAAAAGCAAGUCUUCGUUCCUAACCAUGGCUUUGCAAACCUUCGCUUGGUUAGAAAGGUCUACCUUCUGCAAAACAGAAAUGGCAUUUUAAGAAUUUUAGUUGGUAGAUAAACACAUCUAAAGGUUGUGAUAGCUCUUGAGAUCCUCAUUCCCAACUUCAUCUUUAAUUGAGAGGUCCAAUCUUAACUAGAACUUAAAUGAAAACUCGAAAUAAAAAAUUAAAAAAAAGAAGAAAGUUCCA